rnacentral:rRNA from 1 species
UAUGGGGGGGGCAAGCGUUGUUCGGAAUUACUGGGCGUAAAGGGCUUGUAGGUGGCCAACUAAGUCAGACGUGAAAUCCCUCGGCUUAACCGGGGAACUGCGUCUGAGACUGGAUGGCUUGAGUGUGGGAGAGGGAUGCGGAAUUCCAGGUGUAGCGGUGAAAUGCGUAGAUAUCUGGAGGAACACCGGUGGCGAAGGCGGCAUCCUGGACCAUAACUGACACUGAUAAGCGAAAGCCAGGGGAGCAAACGGG